rnacentral:lncRNA from 1 species
AUGAAAGGAGCUCCAGGGUUGCCACUUCUCGCAGCCGCAAUGACACUCUGGCACGUAGGACAGGCGUGCACCACAAUCAAAAACUCAACGGUAAUAUCCUUUAACAGCACUAAGCAAGCACUCUUUAAAAACGGAAUGGUAACCAUACCACUGGUCAUAGACCUAAUAUACCCCUACAAAGUUUGCAACGAAGUAUACCACAGUUCGGUACUCGCUGGUAUGUUCAGGUCUGCGGGAAGCCCAACUCAAAGCAGGAAUUACGAGGCAAGGAGCCGCCAAAAACGCGCAAUUCCCUUGCUAGUGGCAGGCGCGGUGGCAACUUCAUCGUCAGUGGCGACACUCGCUACCAUGCUUUGGGCAAAAUUGAGUUUUGCGGAGUUAAACGGAGAAAUCGAAAAAUUACGGCAAGAUCUCGGAGGAAGAACCAGCUACCUCGAAAAACUAACGAUCGAGAAUAAAGAGGCAAAUAUCAAAAAUUACAUAGCCAUAAGGAGGGAUCUGAAACAAAUAACGACCUUAAUGUCCGAAAACUUAUGUAAAAUACAAAAUUAUACCAGAAUUAUUCUGCUAGAGUCUCAAAUGCUAAACGAAUUCGACGAAAUUAUGGCAGCCCUCCGGACUAAAACCCUUAGCGCAAAACUCCUACCUCCGUCACAAUUACACGCAUUCAUCGACAACUCCCCUCCCUUGCACAACACCCUGUAUACCCAAGCACCCUACCUGCUGUAUUUGCUGGCCGAAGUAAGUUUCGACCUGGAAGAAAUCAAAAUGUCCGAUGGCUCCAUCCUCCGCGGAGUUAUCACAGUGCCAUUAAUCGUCAGGAACGAGAAGAUUAAUACAGAAAUUGCAGCCAAACGCUACGGAGACACAAUUAAAGUAUUCAGGCCAGUACAAGUAGCACAAGAGUCACUGCGCUCAGUCGAACGUUGCGACGAACAACCGGAUUUUUUUGUGUGCACAGAAGCCGACCUAACAGAUGUCCUCUUCAAAGAAGUAACGGACAAGAUGAUAUUUGACAAGGGAAUUGUAAUAGUGGCGCAGAACAACUCAGCAAUGGUAAAUAAAGAAGAAAACGGCGCAAAAACGCAGAUAAUUGGACCAGCGAUUUGUUCGGGCCCCCGCCCUUGGCCUCUGUCUGGCACCUAUCUGCUCUUGGCUUAG